UACGGGGGGGGCAAGCGUUGUUCGGAAUUACUGGGCGUAAAGGGCUCGUAGGCGGCCAACUAAGUCAUACGUGAAAUCCCUCGGCUUAACCGGGGAACUGCGUCUGAUACUGGAUGGCUUGAGUUUGGGAGAGGGAUGCGGAAUUCCAGGUGUAGCGGUGAAAUGCGUAGAUAUCUGGAGGAACACCGGUGGCGAAGGCGGCAUCCUGGACCAACACUGACACUGAGGAGCGAAAGCUAGGGGAGCAAACGGG
rnacentral:rRNA from 1 species